ensembl:lncRNA
UAGAGUGACCAGGGCUUCUAACACCCUGACCCUCAUCUCCUCUUAAGCUUGCAGAGGGUGUGAGAACAGCGUGCUCCUCAUCAGAUGAACAGAUGAAAAAGAAAAUUCUAGAGGGGUAAAGGUGUGUAAAGUGUGUGUGAGCUGAUGUGGAUGUGAAUUCAUCAGCAUGGAUCAGUGUGGGGACAGAGAGGAGGGAGUCCUUCCCUCUAAAACCAGUCUGUGUGGGGAACAUGAGAGCCAGACCAAAGCUCAGAGGAACCAAACUGGACCUCCACCCAGAAGGGUGUCCUAUAAGAGUAAACGGGUGAAGGAUUUCUUUCGUAAUUUAGGGGAGGGAAGGUCAUCUGAGAGAAGGUAGGUGGUGAUGAGACAGGAGGGGAACACAGCUGGGAGUAAUCACACACACGAGACAGGUAGAAAGCAAAACUGAACACACUGAACACUAGACGAAGGACUAUCAAAAGGAAAAAAAACAGGAAAUAUGAGAAACAGACUAAGAUGCAAACUUGACACUGACAUG